AUGAGCGCGAAGCAGCUCUGCGACGCCUUGGCCGCCGCGGGGUUCGACAGCGGAGAUCCGCUCGACCCGGAGAGCCUCGAUUGGGCGUUCCUCCAAGGAGACGACUCCAGCCGCGUGCUCGCGUGGAUCGCCGCCCGCCUACGCCGCGCCAACGUCCUCUCCGCCUCCGACCUCGAACUCUAUGAUCAGCUUGAACUAGAAGGGAAGCUUUUGGAGGGGAAAGACUUGGAUUCCGCUUUCGACAGUAUUUCGGCGUUCUCAGAAACUGGAGAGAACCAUGAAUACACAUUCCUGUCGGAAGAAAGUCUGGGAGACAUCCGCGACUCAAAACUAGCACUUAGAGCUGAAGUUUCUGAUUUGGAAAAAAAGCUCGCUUCUCUGGAAUGGCAGCUUGAUUUGCUUACAGCACAAGCUACCACCAUCACGCAGGGAAAGAAAUCCCGCACAUCUGCUAAAACUAGCGCAACUGGAAAACUCGCGAGAUUUGAUGAGGAACUUGCCAAGAGAAGUUUAGAGAUGAAUGCAGUACUUGGAAAACUUGUUGCUACGAUCCAGGAGUUGUCUUACUAUCAUUCAGAAGCUGAUAUUGGCGUCUACCUGUCAUACUGUGAUUUCCAAUCAUAUGUAAUCAGUAACCUGGCUUGUACCAAAGAACUUAACACAUGGUUCACUAAGAAGUUUGAGAAGGGGAGUCCCCAGCCCAACGGUCGAACCAAAACAGGGUGGCUGUCCCAGAGAGAUUCCGAAAAGCCUCGUCAUUUUGUGGUCGAACUAAAGCGAAUUAAUUCAGUAUUUGCUAAAAGUAAAAAACAGUACAUCGAAGCACAAAUGGAACAUGCUAAUGAGGAGGCUACACUUUCAAAGCUGAGAGCUCAGUUGGCAUCUCAACACUCAUAUAUUCAUGAAGACAUCCAUUCUCUAAGGAGGAGAAAUUCUGAACUUACAGAAGAGCUGAAGGAUCUCUCCCUUCAAGUGCAGGAAUGCCUAUCCGAGACUGUCGCAAGCUUGUGUUCUGACCUGGCUCGACUUGAGGGUGCAAAUAUUCUGCAAGGGGAUCAUAACUUGAUUGUUCAUCGCCAGGAAUGCUACAUAAGCCAGCAAAAAAGGUUCAUCAAUCAUUUGGUGAAUCAGCUUGCUGCUCAUCGGUUUCUGGCGAUAGCCUGCCAGCUUGAAAGACGGACAAAAAUUUCGAGUGCCUAUUCAUUGUUGAAAGCUACAGAAAUGGAGCUGCAGAGCUACGUAUUAGCUGUCAAUAGUCGCCUGGACCAAUAUCAUCUAAUUGGCGAAGCCGCGUCUAGCAUGAUCGAAGAAGGGUCUAUUGAUGACCGGGAUACUUUUCUCCAUGCUGUGAGGGAUAUUCUUAGCAGUUACUCAGGUUCUCAAACAAUGACACCAACAUAUGUUUCAGCAUGUGCUUUGGUUGAGCAGAUAUCUGAGCUGGAGGAUGAGCUCCACUGUUAUCAGCAUGAGCUUGAAAAUGUUCUUCCACGUGAACGGGGAAGAUUUAUCGAUGAACAAUGCAGGAUGGUCCAAACACUCGAGCAGAUUUUAUCUGUACCCGUUACACAUAUGCUACCAAAAUUUACACCAUGGCCACUGGCGCAAGCACUUGAAGAAUUGGAAAUGAUCAGCUAUGAAGUCUAUGCUUCUGUUAAUGAAGUAACGAUGGCUCGAGAGGAAAAGACCAAGAUGUUACAGCAGCCUUCACGCAAUGCGCAGCAGGAAAGACGAGUAUUCGCCGAUUUCUUCUGCCAUCCAGGACGGCUUGAGAAUCAAGUCAGAGAGCUGACUUCUCGUGUUAGAGGAAUCCCGGAGUAA
rnacentral:rRNA from 1 species